rnacentral:rRNA from 1 species
AUGCACAAUGCUUCCGACCGAGUGGAAUGGUCUUUCUUAAAAGCAAUUUUGGUGAAGCUGGGUUUCAAAGAAAACUGGAUGAACUUGAUUAUGCAAUGUGUGUCCUCUGUGGAGUACGGGGUUCGGUUUAAUGCAGAUGAGACUGGUAACUUCAAACCAACUAGAGGGCUAAGGCAGGGGGACCCCCUCUCCCCCUACUUAUUCCUGUUAUGUACGGAGAGCCUGACUGCCCUUUUAGCAAACGCGGAGGAGAGGGAAAAUAUUUCCGGCAUAAAAGUUAGCAGGGAAGCCCCUUCAGUUUCGAAUCUAUUAUUUGCGGAUGAUUCUUUGAUCCUCAUGCGAGCAAAUGCUGCAAACGCGGAGGCCCUUAGAGUAGUUCUGGACUCUUACUUUGCCGCCUCGAGGCAAAUGCUACGGGGCACAACAGGUGCUGUUAUCAAAGAUGACAAAGGAAACUUCAUAGUAGGUGGUAACUGA